UACGUAGGGUGCAAGCGUUAAUCGGAAUUACUGGGCGUAAAGCGUGCGCAGGCGGUUAUGCAAGACAGAGGUGAAAUCCCCGGGCUCAACCUGGGAACUGCCUUUGUGACUGCAUAGCUAGAGUACGGUAGAGGGGGAUGGAAUUCCGCGUGUAGCAGUGAAAUGCGUAGAUAUGCGGAGGAACACCGAUGGCGAAGGCAAUCCCCUGGACCUGUACUGACGCUCAUGCACUAAAGCGUGGGGAGCAAACAGG
rnacentral:rRNA from 1 species